UGAACAAUACAGUCAGGAUGGCUAAAGGUGACCCCAAGAAACCAAAGGGCAAGGUGUCUGCUUAUGCUUUCUCUGUGCAGACAUGCUGCAAAGAAUAUAAGAAGAAAAACCCAGAGGUCCCUGUCAAUUUUGCAGAAUUUUCCAAGAAGUACUCUGGGAGGUGGAAGACAAUGUCCAGGAAAGAGAAAUUUAAAUUUGAUGAAAUGGCAAAGGCAGAUAAAGUGCUCUAUGAUCGGGAAAUGAAGGAUCAUGGACCAGCCAAGGGAGGCAAGAGGAAGAAGGACCCUAAUGCCCCCAAAAGGCCACCGUCUGGAUUCUUCCUGUUCUCUUCAGAAUUCUGCCCCAGGAUCAAAUCCACAAACCCCGGCAUCUCUAUUGGAGACGUGGCAAAAAAGCUGGGUGAAAUGUGGAAGAACUUAAAUGACAGUGAAAAGCAGCCUUACAUCACUAAGGCGGCAAAACUGAAGGAGAAGUAUGAGAAGGAUGUUGCUGACUGUAAGUUGAAAGGAAAGUUUGAUGGCACAAAGGGUUCAGCUAAAGUUGUGCGGAAAAAGUGGAAGAGGAAGAUGAAGACGAGGAGGAAGAAGAGAAGGAGGAGGAGGAGGAUGAACAAACAGUUUAUCUGUCUCCUUGUGAAUACUUAGAGUAGGGGAGCGCCAUACUCAACAUAUCUCUUAUUUGAGAAGUAUCUGUUGCCCUCAUUAGGUUUAAUUACAAAAUUUGAUCAUGAUCGUAUUGUAGUUCCUCAAAGUGCUUUAGAAAUUGUCAGUGGUUUACAUGAAGCGGCCAUGGGUGUCUGGAGCACCCUGAAACUGCAUCAAAGGUGUACAUAUUUCCAAACAUUUUUAAAAUGAAAAGGCACUCUUGUGUUCUCCCCACUCUGUGCACUUUGCUGUGGGUGUGACAAGGCAUUUAAAGAGGUUUCUGGCAUUUUCUUUUUAUUUGUAAGGUGGUGUUAACUAUAUGGUUAUUGGCUAGAAAUCCUGAGUUAACAACUGUAUAUCUCUAUAGUUUGUAAAAAGAACAAAACGACUGAGAUAAAGUCUG